rnacentral:rRNA from 1 species
GACGAACGCUGGCGGCGUGCCUAAUACAUGCAAGUAGAACGCUGAAGCGAGGAGCUUGCUCUUCUUUGGUGAGUUGCGAACGGGUGAGUAACGCGUAGGUAACCUGCCUUGUAGCGGGGGAUAACUAUUGGAAACGAUAUCUAAUACCGCAUAACAAUGGAUUACACAGGGCGUUUAGUUGAAAGGGGCAAUUGUUCCACUACAAGAUGGACCUGCGUUGUAUUAGCUAGUAGGUGAGGUAAUGGCUCACCUAGGCGACGUUACGUAGCCGACAUGAGAGGGUGAGCGGCCACACUGGGAGUGUGACACGGCCCAGACUGCUUGGGGAGGCAGCAGGAGGGAAUCGUCGGCAAUGGGGGCAAACCUGAGCGAGCAGGGCGGCGUGCGUGAAGAAGGGUUUCGGGUGGGAAAGCUCGGUUGUAGGUCAAGAACGGGUGUGAGAGUGGAAAGUUCAGAGUGUGACGGUAGCUGAUCAGAAAGAGACGGCUAACUACGUG